AUACGGAGGGUGCGAGCGUUAAUGGGAAUUACUGGGCGUAAAGCGCGCGUAGGCGGCUUGGUCAGUCGGAUGAGAAAGCCCCGGGCUCAACCUGGGAAUGGCAUUCGAUACUGCCAGGCUAGAGUAUGGGAGAGGGAAGUGGAAUUUCCGGUGUAGCGGUGAAAUGCGUAGAUAUCGGAAGGAACACCAGUGGCGAAGGCGACUUCCUGGCCCAAUACUGACGCUGAGGUGCGAAAGCGUGGGGAGCGAACAGGAUUAGAUACCCCGGUAGUCC
rnacentral:rRNA from 1 species